ACGAACGCUGGCGGCGUGCUUAACACAAGCAAGUCGAACGGAAAGGCCCUGCUUUUGUGGGGUGCUCGAGUGGCGAACGGGUGAGUAACACGUGAGUAACCUGCCCUUGACUUUGGGAUAACUUCAGGAAACUGGGGCUAAUACCGGAUAGGAGCUCCUGCUGCAUGGUGGGGGUUGGAAAGUUUCGGCGGUUGGGGAUGGACUCGCGGCUUAUCAGCUUGUUGGUGGGGUAGUGGCUUACCAAGGCUUUGACGGGUAGCCGGCCUGAGAGGGUGACCGGCCACAUUGGGACUGAGAUACGGCCCAGACUCCUACGGGAGGCAGCAGUGGGGAAUAUUGCACAAUGGGCGGAAGCCUGAUGCAGCAACGCCGCGUGCGGGAUGACGGCCUUCGGGUUGUAAACCGCUUUCGCCUGUGACGAAGCGUGAGUGACGGUAAUGGGUAAAGAAGCACCGGCUAACUACGUG
rnacentral:rRNA from 1 species